AUGCGCCGGACAACCUCCCGGCGCUGGGGGCCUUACCGCCGCGCUGGCCAGGCAUCAGCCUCCGCCGCCGGCGCCGGCGCCGUCGGGGUCGACCGCCUCAGCGCCCUCCCGGACGCGCUCCUGCACCACAUCAUGUCGUUCCUCAAGGCGUGGGAGGUGGUGCCCACCUGCGUGCUCGCGCGGCGGUGGCACCACCUCUGGGCGUCUGUGCCCUGCAUCGACCUCCGCGUGCGCCACUCCUCCUUCCGCGAUGCCAACCCGCCGGAGGAGUUCCGUGACUUCGUGGACAGCCUCUUCCUCCACCGUGAUGUGUCCGCGUCGGUGGACACGCUCCGCCUGCGGUCCAGCGACGACUAUGUGGGCUUCGACGAGAAAGAUGCCAACUCGUGGAUCAGGACUGCUAUCAGCCGCAAAGCGCGGGUUAUUCAUCUUGUUGGACAUCGUAAGGGAGUCGCGUUGUUGGACCGCGUGCCCUUCGUCUCUUGCCACCUCAAGAUCUUGAAGUUGUCGUAUGCCAGGCUCGACGAUAGGAUCCUUGGACAGCUUUCUUCUAGUUGCAAAUCCUUGGAAGAGCUGGAUCUGAAGGAUUGCUUGGUCACUGGCCCUAAGAUUGUGUCUACCUCUUUGAAGACAUUAAUCAUGCUCAAAUGCACGUUCAAUUGGGACUUCUCCAUUACUGCUCCGAACCUCGUGCUGCUGCGCCUCAUCACACCUUCCGUCCGAGUUCCGUCAUUUAUCAACUUUGGGUCACUGGUCACAGGCACCAUCAUACUUGAUGAUUCUCUCUUGUGUGAUGAUUUUGGAUACAUCAGUGAUGAAGAUAAUUUUGAUGAAACUACUGAUGAUGAUAACCACAACAAUGAUAAGAGAGAGAGCUAUAAGAUUCAUGAUGACUGUUCCUUGAGUGAUGAUGAUUUUGGUGAUGAUGGCAAUUUUGAUAAUUUUGGAUUUGGAUAUGGUUUUCCUGAAGGAAGAUAUGGACACAGUCGUUACAAGGAUAAUUAUGAUUAUGGUAGCGAUAUUGAUAGUGAUGACAAUACCUAUGAAUAUAGUGAGAUUGCAAAUGAUGCAAAGUAUGGCUACAAAGGGGCCAAGCUUUCCAGUGAAGAUGGUAAGUAUGGUGGAAACAGUGGUCGAAAUUAUAGUAAGAUUCUAGGUGGCCAAAAUAUGCUUGAGAGCCUUUCUACUGCUACGAGUUUGGACUUGUUAAGUGAUGCUGGAGAGGUGGUUCUGAGUAGGGAAUUGAAAAGGUGUCCAACUUUUAGCAACCUGAAGACCCUGUCCCUUGGUGAAUGGUGUAUGGCCGCUGAUUUUGAUGCAUUAAUUUUCCUGCUACAGCAUUCACCUAAUAUAAAGAGGCUUUUUCUCCAACUUAAAUUGAACUUCGGCAUGAGGAAGGCAUUGGAAACAGGUAUCAAGCUUGAGAGGAGAUCAUUUACUUGCAAAGACCUUAGAAUGGUUAAGAUCAAAUGCUCAAAGGAUGAUGGGAGAGUCCAUACCUUGGCACAUAUGUUCAGUGCAAAUGGUAUACCCCUUCAGUAUAUAUAUGUGCGUCGGAGCGGGAAUGCUCAUCUCCGUGGCCAGAAGUUUAUGAGGGAACUCGCCAAGCAAGAACUGGAUGAAUGUGGGGAUGACUGGAUGUAA
rnacentral:rRNA from 1 species